UGGGGAAUCUUAGACAAUGGGGGAAACCCUGAUCUAGCCAUGCCGCGUGAUCGAUGAAGGCCUUAGGGUUGUAAAGAUCUUUCAGGUGGGAAGAUAAUGACUGUACCACCAGAAGAAGCCCCGGCUAACUCCGUGCCAGCAGCCGCGGUAAUACGGAGGGGGCUAGCGUUGUUCGGAAUUACUGGGCGUAAAGCGCACGUAGGCGGAUUGGAAAGUUGGGGGUGAAAUCCCGGGGCUCAACCCCGGAACUGCCUUCAAAACUCCCAGUCUUGAGUUCGAGAGAGGUGAGUGGAAUUCCGAGUGUAGAGGUGAAAUUCGUAGAUAUUCGGAGGAACACCAGUGGCGAAGGCGGCUCACUGGCUCGAUACUGACGCUGAGGUGCGAAAGCGUGGGGAGCAAACA
rnacentral:rRNA from 1 species